AUUGAACGCUGGCGGCAGGCCUAACACAUGCAAGUCGAUCGAGUGGCGGACGGGUGAGUAAUGUCUGGGAACCUGCCCGAUGGAGGGGGAUAACUACUGGCAACGGUAACUAAUACCGCAUACCCUCAGAUGUGCCCAUAUGGGAUUAGCUAGUUGGUGGGGUAACGGCUCACCAAGGCGACGAUCCCUAGCUGGUCUGAGAGGAUGACCAGCAACACUGGAAAUGAGACACGGUCCAGACUCCUACGGGAGGCAGAAGUGGGGAAUAUUGUAUAAUUGGCGCAAGCCCGAUGCACCAAUGCCGCAUGUAUGAAUUAGGCGUUAGGGUUGGAAAGGACUUACAGAGAGGAGGCGGUACGUGCAGAAGAAGCACCGGCUAACGCCGGGCCAGCAGCCGCGGUAAUAC
rnacentral:rRNA from 1 species